AAGAAUCUCUACUGCCCUGGCUGGUUGCUCAGUGGUUAGAGUGCUGGCCUGUAGACCGAAGGGUCAUGGGGUCAAUUCCCCGUCAUGGACAUAUACCUUGGUUGCAGGUGCCCCAGCCCAGGCAGGGACACUUGC